GCUAAUGUAAUUUAAAUUAGAAUAUUAAUUUGUGGAAUUAAUUGUGCGGGACGACAUCUGCCUUUAGCA
rnacentral:tRNA from 1 species